GCAGCAUGUGUCUCAGUUUCUCGUAGCUCUCGUAGGCUGGGAGGUCCAGCUGGUUAAAGCUAUAUAGGAGAGAAGGAGAGGUUAGGCAGGAAUCAACGACAGGAAUCAACAACAACCAACAAUAGAUUGGAUAUUUUCACUCAAUACAUGAAUGCAUGGGGUGAAUCUCCAGUGUCUCUUCCCCUCAAAACAUCAGGGGAAGAUAACAUAAGAGCACUUCCUUACUUCCCAUUUUGAGGAGGACAUGAAGCCUAGACUAAGGACUUUUUGAUGUUGUGUGUACACUUGUGUUAUUUACCAGGUGUGAGCCGUGUGGGUGUACAUUUCUUUACCAGGUGUGAGCCGUGUGGGUGUACAUUUCUUUACCAGGUGUGAGCCGUGUGGGUGUACAUUUCUUUACCAGGUGUGAGCCG
ensembl:lncRNA